CUGAGUUCGGGGGCAAUCCCAGUCCCGACCUCCAACCCUUUGUGAACACAUCUUGUUGCUUCGGGGGCGACCCUGCCGUUCGCGGCAUUCCCCCCGGAGGUCAUCAAAACACUGCAUUAUUACGUCGGAGUAGAAAGUUAAUUUGAUAAAACUUUCAACAACGGA
rnacentral:misc_RNA from 1 species